rnacentral:tRNA from 1 species
GCGUUCAUAGCUCAGUUGGUUAGAGCACCACCUUGACAUGGUGGGGGUCGUUGGUUCGAGUCCAACUGAACGCACCA